rnacentral:rRNA from 1 species
GAUGAACGCUGGCGGCGUGCCUAACACAUGCAAGUCGAGCGAUUCUCUUCGGAGAAGAGCGGCGGACGGGUGAGUAACGCGUGGGUAACCUGCCCUGUACACACGGAUAACAUACCGAAAGGUAUGCUAAUACGGGAUAAUAUAUAAGAGUCGCAUGACUUUUAUAUCAAAGAUUUUUCGGUACAGGAUGGACCCGCGUCUGAUUAGCUUGUUGGCGGGGUAACGGCCCACCAAGGCGACGAUCAGUAGCCGACCUGAGAGGGUGAUCGGCCACAUUGGAACUGAGACACGGUCCAAACUCCUACGGGAGGCAGCAGUGGGGAAUAUUGCACAAUGGGCGCAAGCCUGAUGCAGCAACGCCGCGUGAGCGAUGAAGGCCUUCGGGUCGUAAAGCUYUGUCCUCAAGGAAGAUAAUGACGGUACUKAGGA